GGAAUGACGGUUCCCGUAAGGGAGUCAAUAGGGAAUACGGUAGGUCCUUAAUUGCCAAGCGAUGGUUUGUUCUAUGCCAUGUGGCUGGUUAGGGAUCUUAGCCGUAGCUGCCCCCGCAACUGUGUGCGGCUAGUUUAAUAUCUUCGAAGCCACUGGGAAACUGGGAAGGCAAGGUAUUGAACAUCGAGUCGCGAGCCAGGAGACCUGCCGUCUAA
rnacentral:ncRNA from 1 species